CCCCACAGAAUUUAUAUUGGAUUAUGCAGACAGAGAUUAAUCUACCGCCACACAACAACCUAUAUACUCACAAUAGCAGCUGGAAGACAAGGAAUGCUGGAAGAUGGCGACACAUGUUACUUUACUAAUAAACCCACAGCUGUUUAUUACCUUAUUCAGCCCAAUGAAGGAUGGCACAAAUCUCAGCAACAAAUGAAAAGUCGUCCUUUAGAUCCAAGAUCUAGCAGUAAUGAGUGACAAGAACCUACAAUUAUUGGAGACUACACAAGUGACCAAUUUUAGGUGAUUCCAAUCAAGGUGGAGAAACAUCUCAAAGAUGAUCUUGAGAAAUGGUAGGACCCAGACCUAAUUUUCAAGUGUCAUAGGAAG